CCGGAACCGGCUCCUUCCCGGACACCCCUCGGCAGCCCCGAAUGGCGCUGGGGGUCUCUGUUUGCUUGUCUUCACCCCCGUUACUUUCGCAAACCAAACCCAGAGCUGCAGGCGGCCGCGAGGGGCCGGUGCCCGGGAAGGCGCAGGUGCCGGCGGCGGCGUUCCAGAGCGGCGCCGUAGGCUCCGGACCGAGCCCCGAAGGUCGGCCGGGGCCGCUCCCGCGGGGCCGCGCCGGGCCGGGCGGGCGGUAUGGCUGCGGUGCUGGCCUUCCGGGUGCUGGCGGUCCUGGUGGCCGCGGCGCUGACGGCCGUGCUCCUGGAGCACUACGGCCUGGCCGGCCAGACCUCGCCGCUGCCCCAGCCCCGCGUCCCCAGGAGGCCGCACCCUGCACCGGGCCCCGGAGCCAGCAAUAUCUUCUGGGGUCUGCAGGGGAUCUGACAGAUGCCAAAACAAAGGACCUGUUGGGAUCUAUGCAGCAGAAGGUAGAAUGGCAAACUUACCAUAGUAUCCUGAAGAAGACAAGGGUCAUGGAAAAAACCAAGUGGCUUGAUGUCAAAGGAAAUCAUGAUUCAUUCAAUGUUCCAAGUCUGGAGAGCGUCGAGAAUUAUUACAGGAAAUAUUCUGCCAUACGUACGGAUGGCUCUUUCCAUUAUGUUCACAGUACUCCCUUUGGAAACUAUUCUUUCAUCUCUUUGGAUGCCACCCUAAACCCAGGGCCUAAGAGGCCCUAUAAUUUCUUUGGAAUUUUAGAUGAGAAACAGAUGGAGGAGCUUUUAUUAUUGUCAAAGGAAAGUAAUCAGAGCAACCACACUAUUUGGUUUGGACACUAUACAACAUUUACUAUUCUUUCUCCAUCACCAGGAGUUCAGUCAAUAAUGAGUUCAGCUAUAGCUUAUUUGUGUGGGCACCUCCAUACACUUGGUGGACUGAUGCCUGUUUUGCACACUCGUCACUACCAGGGCACUUUGGAACUUGAGGUGGGAGACUGGAAGAACAACAGAAGGUACCGCAUCUUUGCUUUUGAUCAUGACCUCUUUAGCUUUUCAGAUUUGAUCUUUGGUGAGUGGCCUGUGAUACUUAUCACCAAUCCUAAGUCGCUCCUGUAUAGUUCUAAACAUGAACCACUAGAAAGACUCCUUCACUCAACACACAUCAGAGUCUUGGCCUUUUCCUCAUCCUCCAUUACUUCUGUCACAGUUAAGAUCGAUGGAGUUCAUUUAGGGGAAGCUACUCAUUUGUCUGGUCCUAUUUUCACACUGAAGUGGAACCCAAGAAACUACAUUAAUAGUACACAUAAUAUAGAAGUAAUUGUCCAGGACUCUGCUGGGAGAAGUAAGAGUGUUCACCACAUAUUUUCUCUUGAAGAGGAUAAUCAGCUCAGAUUUGACCCUCUAGCAUCUUUUAUUCUUCUUACAGAUUACUGCAUGGUGGCCCGGGUCCUUUUUGCGCUGAUUGUGCUGAUCCAGCUCUUCAUUCUCAUUAUCUAUAGGCAUCAACGAUAUCUAGAGCUUAAAGGACCUCCAGGAUUUAUAAAUUUGACCUCAUUUUCCCUUCAUGUCUUGAGCAAAAUAAACAUCUUCUACUAUUCUGUCUUGUUCCUGACUCUAUAUACAGUGCUGGGACCAUGGUUCAUUGGUGAAAUUACUAAAGGCAAAAUGGGUUGCUGCUUUUCCUUUGGGAUCUUUGUUGAUGGGCGUUUCCUACAAGGCAGUUUAACAUUUGUGGUUGGAAUUCUCCAGUUGGCAUUUUUUAACAUCCCCUUGAUGGCUUACCUGUGUUGGAGCUUGCUGCAGCGGUGCUAUGGUCACAACUUCAGGUCUCAUCUCCGUCAAGGAAAAUACUUGAAAAUUAUUCCUGUUUACCUUUUUGUGUUACUGCUAUACAUCUGGCAGAUUUAUGCCUGCUAUUUUCUUCAGAGGGCAUAUGGCACUCUAGCUUUUUUCUUCUCCCCUUUGCGGACCUGGUUGACACUGUUGACACCUGUUCUCAUUCAUCGCGUAUGGACACUGAACUCCAAGGAGCUUGUCACCUUUACAGUGCAGCUAAAAAGCCACCUGAGCUCCUGAAGGCCAUGUCUCACCAUCUACCUCUGUCGCCCAGGCCUCUGCCCCAGCAGCAGGUGGAAGGCCAACACUGGUGGGCAAGCUUCAGGGAGCUGCUGCUCCUUGGCUGCCUAGGGGUUGGGUGAUUACCCACUACUGAUUCCUGCAGAAUGGACUUGCAGAGGAGUCUCUAAAUGAUGCUAUGAUUCCUUCCUUCCCCAAGAAGGCAAAGGGUUGAUUUACUUCUGUGAAGGGUAGAGGACAGGGGCUGGGUGUGUAUGGGCGUAUCUGAGGCCCAGUGUUUUUAGGGCUAACUCAUGUAAAGUACCGAGCACAGUGUCUGGAACUCAGCAGUCAAGGGUGCCACUUUAGAGUCGGAGAACCAGUGUGAACUUGGACCUGACCCUGACUACCCUGGCACUAUUAGCUCUCAGUCUGCUUUAACGGCAGGCUGGGGCCUCCGCUUCUUCAGUGGGGGAGGGGGAGUUUCAAUCAAUCAAAUACAGUAAAUGAAUGACAAUAGGAAAUAACUCGUCCCAGCCCGUGUGGCUCAGUUGGUUAUCCUGUGCACCAAGAAGUCCUGGGUUGAAUUCCCCGUUAGGCACAUGCCCCGGUUGCAGACUCUAUCUCCAGUAGGGGGCAUGCAGGAGGCAGCCAAUGGAUGUUUCUAUCUGUCCCUCGCCCUUCAUCUCUAAAAAUAAAAUCAAUAAAAACAUUUUUAAAAAAUGGAAAUAGUCUGGCCAGUAUGGCUCAGUGGUUAAGCUUAGACGUAGACCUAUGAACCGGAGGUCACCGUGUGAUUGCCGGCCGGUCAGGGCACAAGCCGGGGUUGCAGGCUCAAUCCCCAGUGCGGGGUGUGCAGGAGGCAGCCGAUCAAUGAUUCUCAUUAUUAAUGUUUUCCCCUCUCCCUUCCUCUCUGAAAUUAAAAAUAAAAAAGGAAGUAACUCCUCGGGGGCGGGCCAUGGGAGGCGUGGCCUGGUCUGGGGCGGGCGGGGCGGUUUGUUGCCGGAAAGGACCCGGGUCUGUGACGCCGGAAGUGGAGCGGCCGCAGCAGUGCGGCCCCGGCCCCGGCAGCUGCCUCGGCGCCCUGCCUGCCGGCCCCAGGCCGUCUCCGGAGAUGGCGAGCGCGGCGGCCCCUGCAGCGCCCUCCCUUUCCCCGCCUCUGGAGCAGCUGCGGCAUUUAGCCGGGGACCUGCGGCUACUCUUGCCCGGAGUGCGGGUGGGCGAAGCCCUGGAGACCGCCAAGGAGUUCAGCCGGGAGACGUUUUGGCGCCGACUCAAUGAGGCAGCUGAGACGGUGUCCAGGGAAGCCACGACUCUCACCGAAGUCUUCGCUCGACUCCCGCGGCCACCGCCGUCCGCGCAGAGUAGAAGAGUUGACCAGAUUGAUCUAAUCCAUUUCGUUUUUCAUUCUGAAAUUGGUCUACCUCUUCAUAGGAAGCCCAGAGGCUCUGUGAACAAGUCCAUGCUGCCAUCAAGGCAAUUAUUGCAGUAUACUAUUCGCUUCCCAAGGAUCAGGCCCUGAGAACAAUGACCUUAUUUCUUGCAACAAUGUCUGGGUUGCGUGCGAGCAGGUGCCUCAGAUACCAAGAGAUAACAAAGCUGCAGCCCUUUUAAUGCUGA